GCAUCUGGCUAGGACCGGUUUAGCAGUCUGUUCUGAAUGUCCUCCAGAACCUCUCGGAACAGUUCCUCUCGGGACUUCGUGCCGUCUAAAUAAACUGGAACCAACCGGAAAGGGCCUGGGUCAGGGCCUGGGUCAGUGCUGAGAAAGCAGAAUGAGUUCAAAGGCAGCCUGGACAACUUUUCCCAGUGAGGCCCUGUCUCAAAACGCAAAGUAAAAACAUGGGCAGGGGCGUGGUCAGGGUGGAGCCACGCCCAGAAUCCCCCGUGAGGGGCUGGGGGCGUGGUCAGGGUGGAGCCCCGCCCAGAAUCCCCCGUGAGGGGCUGGGGGCGUGGUCAGGGUGGAGCCCCGCCUGAGGGACUCCAGGGCAGUAGGUCGAGACUCAGGUCACCCUCAGCCAUUCAGGUCGUGUGCCCUAGGUUGUUGGUCUCGGCACUGACAGGACCCAUGUGAUGGAAGCCGUGGGGAAGCAGAGCCGCUGUAAGUGGGAAUCACUACAAAAAGCCCUCCCUACCUUAGGCGGGCAUGGAGCCGCACCCCUGUCACCUAGGGGCUGAGACAGGGGGUCUUCAGUUCGGGGCCAGCCUGCCUGACCAAGGGUUGCCCCGUCUCAAAACAAAAUGUCCAAAGAGGGCUGGGCCCGCAGCCAGCGCGGAGGGCUUGCUCCAUGCUCCCAAGGCCCGGAUCUACCCUUUUGCUUCCAGAACAAAAUAAAACAAACCCGGUGUGUUCA